rnacentral:lncRNA from 1 species
UGGUAGAGCUAAGGGUCCCUUUACAUAAUCACCCAUAUGUAAUGAUUUUUUUUUACAUUACGCAUGAUGAUAUUUUUGGUUUCAUAUUGAAUAUAUGAUUCCUUACUAUAUCUAUGCCAUAUGUUGACUAUUUUGAUAGUUGGAAACAUGAGAUAUGAUAUUUGGAAAUUGAACAAGAAGUAUAAUAUAAAUUAUUGAAAGAAUUAUUGAAUAUGUGAUAGGAUUUGGACUAGCCAUGAUGUGAAUUGCCAGUCAUGGGCCGAAUCAUGAUACAUUGGAUUACCAAUCAUGGAUCGAAUCAUGAUAUCUUGGUUUGCCACUGUAAGCUAAAUAAUAACACCUUGGUUUGCCCCCAUG